rnacentral:lncRNA from 1 species
CGCGGCGCUGCUCCGUGCAGCGGGCAGAUCCUGCAGGAGGGCUGCAGUGAGGGCAGUGCUGUCCUUGUCCCAUGCGCAGCCCCGCGGGGCCCUUCGCUCUGAGCAGCAUGACGGCAGGACAAGCGAUUUCUGUUCUUUCCCAAAACAAAACCGAAAGGGAUCAGAAACCGGAACGCAGCAGUCCCUGCCCACGUGCCGCCGUCCCCCGGCGCGCUGCCGGCGCCUCUCCUGCCUUUGUCCGACAGGGCGCAGCACAGCCCGCACCUCACCCCGCACCCUCCGCUCCGUGCGGGACGGACGGCCCGGGGUUUUACCUUUUCCUCCCAGGAGGUUUCUAAGAUCCCACCCGUGGCCUCGGGGCGCAAGGAUGGGCUGCGGGAGCGGAGGGCUCGGGCUAAAGGAGGACUGAGCUCGGCGCAGGGGGAAGAGAUGGAGACGCCCCGAGCGGUGCGGGACGCGGGGCUGUGUGCGGGACGCGGGGCUCCGCUUCCCCCCGGCAGUCCGGCGCCGCUCCGAGCCCUUCUCGCGCCCCGCACCGCGGCUCCGUGGCCGCACCGCCCCCGGCGUGGGGAGGCGAUCACCGCCACGCGCCCCACGGCCGCCGCCCGUCCCGGCGGAGCAGCCCACGGCCGCUGCGUCACGACGGGGCUCUCCGGAGCGCGGCAACGGCGGAACCGCGCACGGCCGGACGCCCGCGGCCCCACCGGCUCCGGCUGCCCCCAUCCACGGCCCCGCACACCCGCAGGGCUGCCGCCCACAGCCCCGUCCCGCGGGAAGGGCCCCCGAUCCCCGCGGCGCUGACUCAGAGCCCGACCCGCCCAGGGACGCGUUCCGCUCCGUGGGGACGCGACGCGCGGAGCCGCGCGACGGCGGUGGGAGCGCGGAUCCAUCCGACCCCGCACCGCACCGCGCCCCGCCCGUACCUCGCGUCCGCCGCCGGGGCCCCCUCGGCCGCCGGGGCCGCGGCCAUAGCGCUGCCGGGAGAGGCCGGGCGGGACGUGCGGAGCGGGGCCGGGAGGGGCGGAGCCGCCGCGGGGAUCUCCGGGACUUGUAGUGCGGGCGGGGCGGGGACGGGAGGGUGCCGCGGGUGUGCGGAGGGGCUCCGGUGGGGGCUCCGGACACGCGGGUGGAGCCGGGGAUGCAGAUGUGCGCCCUCCCGCCUGGGAGCCCCUCAGAAUCACAGCAUCGUAGAACGGCCCGGGUCGCAAAGGACCGCAAUGCUCAUCCCGUUCCAACCCCUGCUGCGUGCGGGGUCGCCCACCAGCAGCCCCAGGCUGCCCACGGCCGCAUCCAGCCUGGCCUUGAAUGCCCGCAGGGAUGGGGCGUCCACAGCCUCCUUGGGCAGGGCUCCUCCGGGCAGACAUCGGGAUAAUUCAGCGCUCAAAGCAGAGGGACCGCGAGGGAGAAAACCCAACUCGCGAAGCUCCACCCCAUCACAGAUGUCGUCGCCCACCGAACGGCCCAACGACGACGACGACGAGCACGAUAAAAAAUCAAUAAACAUUUAUUCGAUACAGCUGCUUUCCAUACAUACAGUACAUGGAGCGAUCCCUCCCCGGCGCUGUGGCUGCGCGCUGCUGUACUCCCCAGCUGAGGAUUUGUCCAUGGUUAACAAAAGAACGGAUCGGCACAGAUCGGAGCUCAUUAUCAGAUAGUUUACUGUUUAAAACCAUUUUUUUUUCCUUUUUUUUUUUUUUUUUUUUGCAAAUAAACACUUUUUUUUUAAUAUAUAUAUUUAUAUAUUUAUAUAUAUAUGGUUACAAGUGAUAAAUUGAAAAUUCUUAAUUUUUUAAUUUCCCUCCCCCCCCCGCCCUCCCCCUCCCCCCCCUCCCCCCAAUUACACUUAAUGCACUGAUAACUGGCAGCGACGAGAGACGGUCCGGGUGUGCCGUGGGAUGGGGGUCGCGAGGAGAGUAAGGAAGGAGCAGAAGGGGCCCAGCGCGGAUGGGCGGAGGGGGGCAGUGCUGCUGGGGGGCCCUGGGGAGCAGGGCUAUGGCACCAUGGGGGUGGGGGGCUCCUUCCUGCCCCCCCUGUGCUGUCAGUGCUCCAUGGGGUGGGUGCCGCCGGAGCCCUUGCUGGGGUGGGCUCUGUGGAGGGAUGGGUCCCAGCCCCACGCACGCAGGUGCAGCCCUUAUCCUGAGUGAUGUGCGGCUGCGGGAGGUGUGAAGAUGAGUUUCGGUGGUGCUGCACGUGUAGGAUGUGGGGCUGUGG